CCUACGGGUGGCAGCAGUGGGGAAUAUUGCACAAUGGGGGAAACCCUGAUGCAGCGACGCCGCGUGAGUGAAGAAGUAAUUCGUUAUGUAAAGCUCUAUCAGCAGGGAAGAAAAUGACGGUACCUGAGUAAGAAGCCCCGGCUAACUACGUGCCAGCAGCCGCGGUAAUACGUAGGGGGCAAGCGUUAUCCGGAUUUACUGGGUGUAAAGGGAGCGUAGACGGCAGUGCAAGUCUGGGGUGAAAGGCGGAGGCUCAACCCCCGGACUGCUCAGGAAACUGUACGGCUAGAGUGCAGGAGAGGUAAGUGGAAUUCCUAGUGUAGCGGUGAAAUGCGUAGAUAUUAGGAGGAACACCAGUGGCGAAGGCGGCUUACUGGACUGUAACUGACGUUGAGGCUCGAAAGCGUGGGGAGCAAACAGGAUUAGAUACCCGAGUAGUC
rnacentral:rRNA from 1 species